rnacentral:rRNA from 1 species
UACGAAGGGGGCUAGCGUUGCUCGGAAUCACUGGGCGUAAAGCGCACGUAGGCGGAUUUGUAAGUCAGGGGGUGAAAUCCCGGGGCUCAACCUCGGAACUGCCUUUGAUACUGCAAAUCUCGAGUCCGGAAGAGGUGAGUGGAAUUCCUAGUGUAGAGGUGAAAUUCGUAGAUAUUAGGAAGAACACCAGUGGCUGAAGGCGGCUCACUGGUCCGGUACU